UAUGGUAAUUGCCAGCCGCCGCGGUAAUACGUAGGUGGCAAGCGUUGUCCGGAAUUAUUGGGCGUAAAGCGCGCGCAGGCGGCUUCCCAAGUCCCUCUUAAAAGUGCGGGGCUUAACCCCGUGAUGGGAAGGAAACUGGGAAGCUGGAGUAUCGGAGAGGAAAGUGGAAUUCCUAGUGUAGCGGUGAAAUGCGUAGAGAUUAGGAAGAACACCGGUGGCGAAGGCGACUUUCUGGACGAAAACUGACGCUGAGGCGCGAAAGCGUGGGGAGCAAACAGG
rnacentral:rRNA from 1 species